rnacentral:rRNA from 1 species
CCUACGGGACGCAGCAGUGGGGAAUAUUGCACAAUGGGGGAAACCCUGAUGCAGCGACGCCGCGUGAGUGAAGAAGUAUUUCGGUAUGUAAAGCUCUAUCAGCAGGGAAGAAAAAAGACGGUACCUGACUAAGAAGCCCCGGCUAACUACGUGCCAGCAGCCGCGGUAAUACGUAGGGGGCAAGCGUUAUCCGGAUUUACUGGGUGUAAAGGGAGCGUAGACGGCGCGGCAAGUCUGAAGUGAAGGCAAGGGGUUAACCCCUGGACUGCUUUGGGAA